GAUGAACGCUGGCGGCGUGCCUAAUACAUGCAAGUCGAGCGAACAGAUGAGGAGCUUGCUCCUCUGACGUUAGCGGCGGACGGGUGAGUAACACGUGGAUAACCUACCUAUAAGACUGGGAUAACUUCGGGAAACCGGAGCUAAUACCGGAUAAUAUAUUGAACCGCAUGGUUCAAUAGUGAAAGACGGUUUUGCUGCCACUUAUAGAUGGAUCCGCGCCGCAUUAGCUAGUUGGUAAGGUAACGGCUUACCAAGGCAACGAUGCGUAGCCGACCUGAGAGGGUGAUCGGCCACACUGGAACUGGGACACGGUCCAGACUCCUACGGGAGGCAGCAGUAGGGAAUCUUCCGCAAUGGGCGAAAGCCUGACGGAGCAACGCCGCGUGAGUGAUGAAGGUCUUCGGAUCGUAAAACUCUGUUAUUAGGGAAGAACAAAUGUGUAAGUAACUAUGCACGUCUUGACGGUACCUAAUCAGAAAGCCACGGCUAACUACGUG
rnacentral:rRNA from 1 species